GCUCUGUGUGUUCCAGGAUCAGUGUAUCUGUGUGCUGUGUAUGUUCCAGGUUAGUGUCUACGCUCUGUGUGUUCCAGGAUCAUGUCUACGCUCUGUGUGUU